UUAAUUUUCUAAUAUUUCGACAUAUUUGUGCCAUCUAAAAUUACUUAAAAAGGGACAUUUAAGGAUAGAAGAAUGGAUGAUAAUUGUUCUAAAUUAACAUUAUUAAAUGCUCCUACAACAUCCAAAAAAACACCAGCCAAUAUUUUAUUGUCAAUCUGGGCACUAUGGAUGUCAAGACAUAAAUGCCGUAGACUCUCACAAGCAGAACGACCGCAUCGAAAUCCAAAUUGAUUAUUAGAUUACUGUGUGGAGGAAUGUUGGAUGGAAUUGAAGAAGAUUCAGUUUCCGACACUACCAUGGAAAAUUUUGUGAUUGUAGGCAAGUGAUAGCUGC